UACGGGGGGGGGCAAGCGUUUGUUCGGAAUUACUGGGCGUAAAGGGCUCGUAGGUGGCCAACUAAGUCGGACGUGAAAUCCCUCGGCUUAACCGGGGAACUGCGUCCGAUACUGGUUGGCUUGAGUUUGGGAGAGGGAUGCGGAAUUCCAGGUGUAGCGGUGAAAUGCGCAGAUAUCAGGAGGAACACCGGUGGCGAAGGCGGUUCUCUGGGAAUGUCCUGACGCUGAGGAGCGAAAGUGUGGGGGAGCGAACAGG
rnacentral:rRNA from 1 species